rnacentral:rRNA from 1 species
UGGGGAAUUUUGGACAAUGGGGGCAACCCUGAUCCAGCCAUGCCGCGUGAGUGAAGAAGGCCUUCGGGUUGUAAAGCUCUUUCGGCCGGGAAGAAAUCGGCGACUCUAACAUAGUCGCUGGAUGACGGUACCGGGCUAAGAAGCACCGGCUAACUACGUGCCAGCAGCCGCGGUAAUACGUAGGGUGCGAGCGUUAAUCGGAAUUACUGGGCGUAAAGCGUGCGCAGGCGGUUUUGUAAGACAGAUGUGAAAUCCCCGGGCUUAAACUGGGAAAUGCGUUUGUGACUGGAAGGCUAGAGUACGGAAGAGGGGGGGGGAAUUCCACGUGUAGCAGUGAAAAGCGUAGAGAUGGGGAGGAACACCGAUGGGGAAGGCAGCCCCCUGGGCCUGUACUGACGCUCAUGCACGAAAGCGUGGGGAGCAAACAG